CUCUCUAUCUUCUCUCUCUACUGCUCGAUUUUUUGAAAUUUUCAUUUGGGUAAACCACCCUAAUUUCAGGGCUUACAAUCGAGCCGCCAUUAAGUUUGGGGGAGUCGAUGCAAACAUCAAUUUCAACCUUAGUGAUUAUGAUGAAGAUCUGAAACAGGAAAUGGUUUCCACACAGGGUGACUUCAGCUUUGAUGAACAAACUUGGAAGACCAUCUCUUCAUCCACGAAGUAGUUGAUUUCUAGUCUUCUAACAGUCGAUCCUCAUAGAAGACCACUGCACAAGAGGUAUAUAGCAUGACUAUUAGUCCAUUCAUUGGAUGUGUAGUGAUGUUAGAGGGACUGAAAUCUCUAUGCAUGUAGAAUCAACCAAUCUCCUCUACAAUUCUGUCAAAUAGUAAUAACAGUUAGGUAAAUUGCAAUUCUGCAUGAUGGCAUACCAAAUGUUGUGUUGUCUAAGUGAUCAAUUCUAAAGUGUUAGGACUUUUAGACUACUAGGUCAUUAAUAUACAGAGACGGGGAAACAUGCAUUUGUGAUGUUUUGGUAGAAUCCUUGGAGUGAGUAAACAGUUUGGCAGAUAGAAAUCACAAAGACUGAAUUGGCAGACUUUGUGUUGCCAAACUGUUUGAAGGACGAUGUCAACAAUCAGAUGUGCAUAAGGACGAUGUGGACAAUCGGAUUGCUCUCAGAAUCUACUAUAUGAUUGCUGAUAAUUUUCUCAGACAGGUAUUUUGUU